rnacentral:rRNA from 1 species
GAUGAACGCUGGCGGCGUGCCUAAUACAUGCAAGUCGAGCGAACUGAUUAGAAGCUUGCUUCUAUGACGUUAGCGGCGGACGGGUGAGUAACACGUGGGCAACCUGCCUGUAAGACUGGGAUAACUUCGGGAAACCGAAGCUAAUACCGGAUAGGAUCUUCUCCUUCAUGGGAGAUGAUUGAAAGAUGGUUUCGGCUAUCACUUACAGAUGGGCCCGCGGUGCAUUAGCUAGUUGGUGAGGUAACGGCUCACCAAGGCAACGAUGCAUAGCCGACCUGGGAGGGUGAUCGGCCACACUGGGACUGAGACACGGCCCAGCCUCCUACGGGAGGCAGCAGUAGGGAAUCUUCCGCAAUGGACGAAAGUCUGACGGAGCAACGCCGCGUGAGUGAUGAAGGCUUUCGGGUCGUAAAACUCUGUUGUUAGGGAAGAACAAGUACAAGAGUAACUGCUUGUACCUUGACGGUACCUAACCAGAAAGCCACGGCUAACUACGUGCCAGCCGCCGCCGUAA